UUCAAUCAGCUUAUUUGAGGGCACUGCUUUAUGAUGCGGGUGAGAGUUCACUCACAUGGUAUUUUUCAUAGUUCGUGAGGUUAUUUUCCAGUCGGUAAAAUUGUACGCAAUUAGUAUGUCGCUGAAAACACUGCAGUUAGAUGUCAUUUUGGGAUGCCAACAAAUGCCUCAUUGACACUUUGAAAAUUAUGAGAGUACUUCUCGAGUUAGAUAAUUGUAAUUACCAAAUUAAAUCUCAGUAACGAAAGAAUUACUGGCUACUACUCCACUUUACUGGAAACAAUAUGCACUAGGUUUUCUUCAAGUAACGGAACUGUUUUUUUUUUUUUUAAUCUUAGUGCAUGAUAGCUGUGGAACACUCUCUCUCUUCAUCCCUAUACCCCGUUUUCCAGUGCAGGGUAGAAAAACGGACAUGCGUCUGGUUAACCUCUCUGCCUUUCCUCUCUUCUAUUUCUCUCUCUCUAUAAUUCACUCAGUAACCAUAAUGAGGCCAAGCCAGAUUCACUCGAAAUCAGAAUCGACAGCAGUCAUGUGCGGCAGCACUUAUGCUCGGACUAGCAGAAAAAAAAAAAGAGGCUGCAGUUUUGCAGAAAGGCGAAGCAGUGUUAGUGAUAGCCAAGUAUGCGACAAUUACACGAAGGAAGAUUACACCAGCAAGGGGACUCAGGCUGUGAAAUUGAACUGUCGCCUACUAUGAGGUCUUGUAUAUACUUAGCGCCGUUACUUCAGUGCUCAAGUCUUCGAGGUCAAACGAAGUUUCUUGAAGUGCAAGAAAUAUAUAUAUAUAUAUAUAUAUGUAUCGUAAGGAACCGCUUUAUUCCAGCCAAGCUCGGACUACUACCUCGAGGAUUAAACUGUGCUGCUAGUGAUGAUAUAUGCAGAUGAAAAAGAUGUGCAGAUGAUGAAGUUGAAAGUCAGGCAUGUGUUGUGCCCAUGCUAAUUCUCUCUCGCUGUGGAAGCGGCCGCCUGGCUGCGCGAAGCCAUCAUCUGGUGCUGUGUACAGCAAGCACAUGCUUCGGGCAAGGAGGGAGCCAGCACCAUAUCUACAUCAGCAAGAACCUCGGUGCUCAAAAUAAACAUUUUCUGUGCAAA
rnacentral:lncRNA from 1 species